CUGUGUUCACACGGCGAGACCGCGGACGGCUCAUUAAAUCAGUCGUGGUCCAAAUGGGCCAGUGCAAAUCCUACUUGGAUAACUGUGGUAAUUCCAGAGCUAAUACAUGCAACUGAUAUCCCGAAGGCAGUGUUUGUGCUUGCUUGUCUUGCGCUUGCGCUGCUCUGACGGAUGCUUUUAUUAGACCAAGCCGCUGAGGACUUGAGGGUUCGCGCUCUCUUGUUUGACUCGUGUGAUGGUGACUCUGGAUAACCAAAUUCUGACAAGCGCACGUACUUCUCUUCUGAGCGAGACGGCGCUGCCACUUUCGAGUGUCUGCCUUAUCAGCUAUCAACCGUUCGUUAUGCGCGACCGAUGGCUUUGACGGGUAACGGGGAAUCAGGGUUCGAUUCCGGAGAGGCAGCCUGAGAGACGGCUACCACGUCCAAGGACGGCAGCAGGCACGCAAAUUACCCAAUCCCAGCAAAUGGGGGAGGUAGUGACGAAAUCUAACGAUGCGGGCGCCCUUUCUGGGGCCCCGCAAUCGGAAUGGGCACUUUCUAAACAACCUGUUGAGAACCUACUGAAGGGCAAGUCUGGUGCCAGCAGCCGCGGUAAUUCCAGCUUCAGCAGCAUCUAUUAAAGUUGCUGCGGUUAAAAGGCUCGCAGUUGAAUGUCUGUAUCGAGCGCAGGUCAGGUGGACGUU
rnacentral:rRNA from 1 species